rnacentral:tRNA from 5 species
GGCCCGGUAGCUCAAGGGUAGAGCAGUGGCCUUUUAAGCCAUUGGUUGUGGGUUCGAAUCCCUCCCGGGUCA